ACGGAAGGCAGCAGUGGGGAAUAUUGGGCAAUGGGCGAAAGCCUGACCCAGCAACGCCGCGUGAAGGAAGACGGUCUUCGGAUUGUAAACUUCUUUGAUUGGGGAAGAACAAAAUGACCUACCCAAAGAACAAGUCACGGCUAACUACGUGCCAGCAGCCGCGGUAAUACGUAGGUGACAAGCGUUAUCCGGAUUUACUGGGCGUAAAGGGCGUGUAGGCGGCUUUACAAGUCAGAAGUGAAAUUCUCGGGCUCAACCCGGGCGCUGCUUCUGAAACUGCAGAGCUUGAGUGCUGGAGGGGAUAGCGGAAUUCCUAGUGGAGCGGUAAAAUGCGUAGAUAUUAGGAAGAACACCGGUGGCGAAGGCGGCUAUCUGGACAGUAACUGACGCUGAGGCGCGAAAGCGUGGGGAGCAAACAGGAUUAGAUACCCUGGUA
rnacentral:rRNA from 1 species